rnacentral:tRNA from 1 species
UUCCAACAGUCCAGCAGUAAAGAAUCUGCUUGCAAUGCAGAAGACCCAGGUUCGAUCCCAGGGUUGGAAA